CAAAAUUCUCCUUAUACAAAUCACGUUUAUAUGUUUUAUUAUGUUUUCAAUUGUUUUCGUAAUUUUUAUGCAGUUUUCCCGUAAGUCGUUUACCAAGUAAAAGGCGAGUGACAGAUGCUUUAUGGCGCAAUCACAUGAUGUUGUCUCAUCAUAAUUUUACAAUAUAAAGCUUCAUAGGCUUUUUAAUCCAUCCAUUUGAAACUGUUUAACAGGUCACAGACACAGUUCCCAAGAGCAACAAAAUAAACGCGGUUGAUUAGCAUAGGCGUAUGGGCCGGGGGGGGCACGUGCCGCCCCCCCCCCCCAAAUUUUUACGGUCGGGUAAAAAUCAAUGCGACAUUCGGGCAAAACAUAAAAAUUUCGGAAAAAUUUUGAUAUGUCCUGAAAACAUUUUUGUGUCUGCGAAAAUCACGUGAUGUUAGGGAAAUUUUUUUGAUAUGCCCGGCAAAAUUUUCGUAUGUUUGUAGAAAAGUAUUUGGUAUGUGGGGAAAAAUGUUUUUGGUAUGUCCGGAAAACAUUU